rnacentral:antisense_RNA from 1 species
CUCGCAAGACCUGGUUGUUUAAAAGUGGGCGGCACCUUACCCUUCGCUCUUCCUCCUGCUUCUGCCCUGAUGUGUCUGGAUGGAGACAGAUGGGAAUCUUCUCCAGUGACCAGAAUCCAUGCCAAAGGCCUGGGAGCCCAAGCUAACUUCUCAAGCUCUGGGGAUGCCUCGGUGAUCUCUGAUGUGGAAUUAGUGGAGGCUGGCCGUUGCUAACCUCUACACGGCCUGCUGGUCAUUAGCGAGCAGGGGUUCCGAUGUUCCUCUCAUCUUGAAUGUCUUUCCUAGGAGAAUAUUUCUCACAUGUUUGACAGAAAACACUACCUGUCCAUCAUUUCCAUGGAUUCCUGGGUCUCACGGGCAGAAGGACAAGGCAGAUAUGAGGAGGAUCUGGUAAAACCGUGAACACCAUGAGAUUAGAGCAUCCAUCUGUAGACUCACAGAGCAAGAAGCGUGAGUGCCCCAAUCUUGAAUGGAUGAAUAAGAUGAAAAUCAAUUUAUAAAAAUCUCGUGACAAGUUGGAAUUCAGUUAUAGAUCAAUUACAGAUUGCUCACUGGACAAUCAAGGACAUUAUUAGAAAACAGUUUCCACCACUAGAAAUUCAUCUACAUUGACAUCCACCUAAAUAUCCAGAAGGUCAUCCCCACUUUCGUCGCUCUCCACAGUCAGCUGCCGGGUCCACCACUUCUUAACUUCAGAACCGCAGGAAGCUGCGUCAGUCAUGGGGUUCAUUUUGCACAUGACAGAUUUCAUGGUUGUCCUUCCUCCAAACCGAGGAGCCUAGAUCUUCUCUGAUCCCUGAAAAAUAAGUUCCUGGAUAUGAAAGAGGAUACUUUCCUUGGUGGCAGUCCCAGUGAAGACCCACUGAACAUCGUCAGCCUCAAAAUGUAAGCUGUGCUGUUAUCUGCUUUGUGGAACACGUAUGAUACGCAUCUUCUCCUUUCAAUUGGGAUGAAGUUGGGGCACAGUUAAAGAGCAUUAUAAAGCUCCUGCUUUAGCAUGAACUUAGUUAUCUAUAGAGAAAAACAUGUACAAGGACACUGGGCUGUGGGGAGCAUUGCUCUCCCUCCAUUCCUGAGUGCUCCUAAUGGGAUUAUCCUGGCUUUCUAAAACCCUAUAGAGAAGAAGCUCAUAGAAGAAAAUUCUCUUACUGAAUCAGUAAAGUAUGGAAAAUAAUGGGAUUGUUUAUUAAAGGAUUGAAUGAGAGAACACAAGUAAUGCACUUAGAAGAGUGACUGGCAUACAGUGAGUACCACGUGCUGGCUUCUCAACCACGAUAGCCUGAAAUGUACCCGGAAAAUGGGGGCUAAUGUAAGUCACAUUUAGAGAAGUUAUUUUGGGGGACAAUAUUUUUGACAAGACUGCAUUUUCCAUUAUGUUGCUGUCUGUAAACAACUGUAGAUGCAGACUUGCAUUUUGAAAGGCAAGACCCAAAACACACAGAGUAAAUACCUUUAAAAUGCCUCGAUUGAUGGAGAAAUGCCUGGAUGUACCUACCUGAGGGCAGACGCCACUGCCCAAACUUCCUCUGGGGUUUCCCUGCGUCGGCGGCAUCUUGCCGACUUCCUCCUCGAUCCGACAGCGUGGGGCUCAGGAGCUGCUGCUGGCUGCUUGUCUACAUGGGUGGAGAAGCAUGCAGUUACCGUCUUUUUAACCCUGUGCUCUCCUCCUUUUACUAUAAGAAAGGAAAACACACAGCAGGAGGACAAGUGGGAAGAACAACGUGGACUCAGAGUGUCCCCAACAGGGAAAAGUGAAAAUGGGUAGAAAGGGUUCACAGAAGCAAAAGAGCCACCACUGCAUGCCGAGCUGAAGGAGACACCACUCUUCCUGGGACAUCUUGUCCUGGGCCACCUCCACUGCCUCGUUCCCCUCCAUGCCUGAGAAUGUCAUUGUUUCCCUUCAUAUCUUCGCUGGCAAACCAGGGGGUAAGGAAGGGGCACUGCAGGAAGGAAGGUGGGGCAGUGGGGACCGGCUGGGCAGGGGCAGUCUACUUUCGCCAGCCUGGAGAUCCACACUUAGAGCUUCAGGGAAAGAGUUCUCUGCAGGCAAAGCUGUAUGAUGGGCCCUGGCGGAGGAUGGAGCUGAUAACCAUCUAAGCUAAAGCUGUAUGAUGGGCCUUGGUGGAGGAUGGAGCUGAUAACAAUCUAAGCUAAAGUCAAAGAGAGAUGCCAAGACUUCCCUCACAUUUCACCUGUUCUCAGGUUCACCUGUCACCUCUUCCUUUCCUAACAAAAGCCUUGGUCUUCACAUCUCUUCAGUUUCCUCUCUUUUUUUUUUUUCACCUCUUAGGCUUUUUCAUCUAAAAACAGAGGGCUCUGAAAUCAUCACUUUCCCCAGCCUCAUUAGCCCUGUCUCACUGUCUGUCCUGACCUCAGCCUGCCUCCCUCCCCCAUGCGAGACAUUGCCAACCAUCUUCAGGGUGACUGGUGGCAAGGCCACUGCCGAUGCCUCCCCUUGCCCCUUGGUUGACUAACUCCGCAGAAGUCCCUGCAGUCGGUGGCAGAUGAUUUCUAAAGGCUGGGGAGCCCAAAACAUGAGACCUACUGAAAACUGGGCUACGGCACCAGUGGGCCUCCUGGAGCAUCCUGCUGGGCCGUGGAGCCUUAGGCUUCCAAAGGUACUCCGGCCCCUGGCUGUGUUGCUGCACACCACGGAGCCUGGUGCUGCUGGGGGCUCUGCACAGAGCACGGGAUCAGCUCCACAUUGUUAACCUCAAAUCGUAAUUGCUGCCUCAUAAAGGGGCAUGUCCUCCCAGCCAGCUGCUUCUCACAGCACAGGACUCUCCAGGACGCUGAUAACUCCUUGUACUUUUUUAUAUAGACACAUACAUAGAGUUUGAAAAUGAAAAUAUGCUGUGACCUAAUAAAUAGAAACUCCUCAA